GUGCCAGCAGUCCGCGGUAAUACCGGCAGCCCGAGUGAUGGCCGAUAUUAUUGGGCCUAAAGCGUCCGUAGCUGGCCGGACAAGUCCGUUGGGAAAUCCACCCGCUUAACGGGUGGGCGUCCAGCGGAAACUGUCCGGCUUGGGACCGGAAGGCUCGAAGGGUACGUUCGGGGUAGGAGUGAAAUCCCAUAAUCCCGCACGGACCACCGAUGGCGAAAGCACUUCGAGAAAACGGAUCCGACAGUGAGGGACGAAAGCCAGGGUCUCCAACCGGAUUAGAUACCCGGGUAGUCC
rnacentral:rRNA from 1 species